rnacentral:rRNA from 1 species
AUUGAACGCUGGCGGCAUGCCUUACACAUGCAAGUCGAACGGUAACGCGGGGCAACCUGGCGACGAGUGGCGAACGGGUGAGUAAUGCAUCGGAACGUGCCCAGUAGUGGGGGAUAGCCCGGCGAAAGCCGGAUUAAUACCGCAUACGACCUAUGGGUGAAAGCGGGGGACCGCAAGGCCUCGCGCUACUGGAGCGGCCGAUGUCAGAUUAGCUAGUUGGUGGGGUAAAGGCCUACCAAGGCGACGAUCUGUAGCUGGUCUGAGAGGACGACCAGCCACACUGGGACUGAGACACGGCCCAGACUCCUACGGGAGGCAGCAGUGGGGAAUUUUGGACAAUGGGGGCAACCCUGAUCCAGCCAUGCCGCGUGCGGGAAGAAGGCCUUCGGGUUGUAAACCGCUUUUGUCGGGGAAGAAACGGUCUGCGCCAAUACCGCGGACUAAUGACGGUACCCGAAGAAUAAGCACCGGCUAACUACGUGCCAGCCGCCGCCGUAAAAC